rnacentral:rRNA from 1 species
UACGUAGGGUGCAAGCGUUAAUCGGAAUUACUGGGCGUAAAGCGUGCGCAGGCGGUUAUGCAAGACAGAUGUGAAAUCCCCGGGCUCAACCUGGGAACUGCAUUUGUGACUGCAUGGCUAGAGUACGGUAGAGGGGGAUGGAAUUCCGCGUGUAGCAGUGAAAUGCGUAGAUAUGCGGAGGAACACCGAUGGCGAAGGCAAUCCCCUGGACCUGUACUGACGCUCAGGAGCGAAAGCGUGGGGAGCGAUCCGG